GGAUUAGUGGCGGACGGGUGAGUAACGCGUGAGUAACCUGCCUUAGAGAAGGGGAUAGCCUUUGGAAACGAAGAAUAAUACCCUAUGAAACCAUAACCUCGCAUGAGGCCUUGGUCAAAGAUUUAUCGCUCUAAGAUGGACUUGCGUCUGAUUAGUUAGUUGGUGGGGUAACGGCCUACCAAGACAGCGAUCAGUAGCCGGCUUGAGAGGGUGAACGGCCACAUUGGGACUGAGACACGGCCCAAACUCC
rnacentral:rRNA from 1 species